AACGAACGCUGGCGGCAGGCUUAACACAUGCAAGUCGAGCGCCGUAGCAAUACGGAGCGGCAGACGGGUGAGUAACGCGUGGGAACGUACCUUUCGGUUCGGAAUAACUCAGGGAAACUUGAGCUAAUACCGGAUAAGCCCUAACGGGGAAAGAUUUAUCGCCGAAAGAUCGGCCCGCGCCUGAUUAGCUAGUUGGUGAGGUAAUGGCUCACCAAGGCGACGAUCAGUAGCUGGUCUGAGAGGAUGAUCAGCCACAUUGGGACUGAGACACGGCCCAAACUCCUACGGGAGGCAGCAGUGGGGAAUAUUGGACAAUGGGCGCAAGCCUGAUCCAGCCAUGCCGCGUGAGUGAUGAAGGCCUUAGGGUUGUAAAGCUCUUUUACCUGGGAAGAUAAUGACGGUACCAGGAGAAUAAGCCCCGGCUAACUUCGUGCCAGCAGCCGCCGUAACAC
rnacentral:rRNA from 1 species